CCCAGUGAUCAUCAACACCAAAUAAGAAUGCCAUUUUACUCCGAUUUUCUCUCAUGAAUGCCCAAUCUGGUGUUUCCGAAAGCUUUCUAAAUUCUGUCAAUGCCAUAAAUAUCAUGUUCCGGAAGGUAUGAUACUGUAGCAAGUGGCUGCAAGCAGCAUUAACAGCAGUAGCAGACCAUGACUUCCCAAUAGAGUUUGACACAAUUGUUCUUGAAGCACACCUAGG
rnacentral:misc_RNA from 1 species